rnacentral:rRNA from 1 species
CGAUGAAGAACGUAGCGAAAUGCGAUACUUGGUGUGAAUUGCAGAAUCCCGUGAAUCAUCGAGUCUUUGAACGCAAGUUGCGCCCGAAGCCAUUAGGCCGAGGGCACGUCUGCCUGGGCGUCACGC